GACGAACGCUGGCGGCGUGCUUAACACAUGCAAGUCGAACGGAAAGGCCCCUUUGGGGGUCCUCGAGUGGCGAACGGGUGAGUAACACGUGAGUAACCUGCCCUUGACUUCGGGAUAACUUCAGGAAACUGGGGCUAAUACCGGAUAGGAAUCCUUGCUGCAUGGUGGGGGUUGGAAAGCUUCGGCGGUUUUGGAUGGACUCGCGGCUUAUCAGCUCGUUGGUGGGGUAGUGGCUUACCAAGGCUUUGACGGGUAGCCGGCCUGGGAGGGCGACCGGCCACAUUGGGACUGAGAUACGGCCCAGACUCCUACGGGAGGCAGCAGUGGGGAAUAUUGCACAAUGGGCGGAAGCCUGAUGCAGCAACGCCGCGUGCGGGAUGACGGCCUUCGGGUUGUAAACCGCUUUCAGCAGGGGCGAAGCUUGUGGUGACGGUACCUGCAGAAGAAGCACCGGCUAACUACGUG
rnacentral:rRNA from 1 species